AUUGAACGCUGGCGGCAGGCCUAACACAUGCAAGUCGAGCGGAUGAAGGGAGCUUGCUCCUGGAUUCAGCGGCGGACGGGUGAGGAAUGCCUAGGAAUCUGCCUGGUAGUGGGGGAUAACGUCCGGAAACGGGCGCUAAUACCGCAUACGUCCUGAGGGAGAAAGUGGGUGAUCUUCGGACCUCACGCUAUCAGAUGAGCCUAGGUCUGAUUAGCUAGUUGGUGGGGUAAAGGCCUACCAAGGCGACGAUCCGUAACGGGUCUGAGAGGAUGAUCAGUCACACUGGAACUGAGACACGGUCCAGACUCCUACGGGAGGCAGCAGUGGGGAAUAUUGGACAAUGGGCGAAAGCCUGAUCCAGCCAUGCCGCGUGUGUGAAGAGGGUCUUCGGAUUGUAAAGCUCUUUAAGUUGGGAGGAAGGGCAGUAAGUUAAUACCUUGCUGUUUUGACGUUACCAACAGAAUAAGCACCGGCUAACUUCGUG
rnacentral:rRNA from 1 species